rnacentral:rRNA from 1 species
CUAGCGAGACUGCCGGUAAUAAACCGGAGGAAGGUGGGGAUGACGUCAAAUCAUCAUGCCCCUUAUGACCUGGGCUACACACGUGCUACAAUGGUUGGUACAACGAGUUGCGAGCGGUGACGGCGAGCUAAUCUCUUAAAGCCAAUCUCAGUUCGGAUUGUAGGCUGCAACUCGCCUACAUGAAGUCGGAAUCGCUAGUAAUCGCCGGAUCAGCACGCCGCGGUGAAUACGUUCCCGGGCCUU